UCCGAGUUGACCCCGGCAGUCUCCCACGAGUCCCCGGCAUAACCCGCUGGCAACAUGGGAUAAGGGUUGCGCUCGUUGCGGGACUUAACCCAACAUCUCACGACACGAGCUGACGACAGCCAUGCACCACCUGUGCAUCACCUUCGAAAGCGGGUGGCUUUCACCACCGUGCAGAUGCAUGUCAAGCCCUGGUAAGGUUCUUCGCGUUGCAUCGAAUUAAGCCAUAUGCUCCACCGCUUGUGCGGGCCCCCGCCAAUUCCUUUGAGUUUCAACCUUGCGGCCGUAGUCCCCAGGCGGUUCACUUAAUGCGUUAGCUGCGGCACCGAGGCUAAGCCCCAACACCUAGUGAACAUCGUUUAUGGCCAAGACUAC
rnacentral:misc_RNA from 1 species